rnacentral:rRNA from 1 species
CCGACGCCAAUAGAGGGAUGGCUUGGCUUGAGAAGAGAUGAAGGACGUGGCAAGCUGCGAUAAGCUUAGGGUAGGUGCAGGCGACCUAUGAUCCUGAGAUGUCCGAAUAGGAAUCCGAUGCGUUAAGCAUACUCAAUUACAAUGGUAGUUGAGAUCGAACCGUGGGAAGUGAAGCAUCUGAGUACCACGUGGAAAAGAAAUCAACAGAGAUUUCCCAAGUAGCGGCGAGCGAAAAGGAAAUAGCCCAAACUGAAUCUGCCAUGGUAACAUGGUAGAGAUGUGGUGUUGUUAUGGUAUUACGAUCCUCAAAUCGGAGCUUAAGUGGCCUGGAAAGGCCUGGCAAAGAAGGUGAUACCCCCGUGAGCGAUGGAAGAGAGGAUCUUACUAUGACUCGAGUAGUUGUCCUUGGUAGUGGGCAAUGAAUAUAGGUGAAAGUAGCAUCUAAGGCUAAAUAUUUCUCAAGACCGAUAGCGGAGUAGUACCGCGAGGGAAAGCUGAAAAGUACCCCGGAAGGGGGGUGAAAAGUGCCUGAAAUCUAUUGGUUACAGACGUGCAUGGCAUGAAAGGAGUUUUUGUCAGAUUGGAGGUUCUAGCAAUAGAGCUGAAGGUCUGGCGUUCAUAGCUCCAGUGUCAUGCGUUCCGUCUAGAAACACGGGCCAGGGAGCUUACUGUUAUGGCGAGCCUAAAUCUUUAAAGAUGGAGGCGAAGGGAAACCAAGUUCCCGCAGUGAAUAACGAGGGGAAGCGUGUGAAAGUGCGUAGAGUCAUAGCGGCAAGGCUAGAAACCAGACGAUCUAUCCCUGAACAAGACGAAGUUGGGCGAAAGCCUGAUGGAGGUCUGAAGCAGUUCUAACGUGCAAUUUGUUUGUCUGAUUUGGGGAUAGGGGUCAAAAACCAAUCUAGUCUGGUGAUCGCUAGUUCCUAACGAAGUGUAUCGCAGUACAGCCUUUGUGGAGACAGCGUGUCUUGUAGAGCACCGAUAGGGCAUGUCGGGAGAGAAAUCUUUCGCUGCCCAUUCAAACUCCGAAGAGAUGUGCGUCGUAGAAGCAAAGAGACGGAUUUACGUGGCGUAAGGCUCGUAAUCAAGAGGGGGACAACCCAGACUGAAGUUAAGGUCCCCAAGUUUUUGCUAAGUGUCAAACUGAAGGGCGUAUUUAAGCCAAGACAGCAGGGAGGUAAGCUCAGAAGCAGCUAUCCUUUAAAAAGUGCGUAACAGCUUACCUGCCGAGCUUGGAUGCCCCAAAAAUGGACGGGGCUAAAGCAAAGCACCGAUACUUCAGAUUGUUAUCAUAUGGUAACACAUGGUAGUUAGGCGUAGGGAUUGGGUAGAAGCAGGGUCGUGAGAUCCUGUGGACCGAUUCCUAUUGCAGAUCCUGGCGGCAGUAACAGCAUAGUGGAGUGAGAAUCUCCACCAUCGUAAGCGUAAGGGUUUCCCGGCAAUGCGUCGUCAGCCGGGAGUUAGUCGAUCCUAAGAUCAACCUCAACAGAGUUGAUCGAACGGGAAACUUGUUAAUAUUCAAGUACCUUAUAGGUGCGUUAUAAUCUAGCAUACGCUUUCGGAUAGGGCUUGCAGAACCAUCGUUCUGUCUAAGUAUUCAAGAGUUGGGGAGUGUCGCAAUGACGAGAACCAAUUCGAGAUGCAAAUGGCUUGGCGUUAGCUGAGUUUGCUCGAGUCCAAGAGACCAUGAAAAAUUGCGUAGUGAGCGUCUUAUAAUGAUCGUACCGAGAUCCGACACAGGUGCGCUGGAUGAGAAGUCUAAGAUGUAUCGGGUAUACCGUAGGCGAGGGAACUCGGCAAAAUAGUCCUGUACCUUUGGUAUAAGGGAUGCCUGCAGCGGUAAUGUAGAAUUGCCGUCGCAGGUCGCAGUGACAAGGGGGUCCCGACUGUUUAAUAAAAACACAGGUGACUGCUAGUCCGAAAGGAUGCGUAUAGUCACUGAAUCCUGGCCAGUGCAGGUACCUAAAACUUGGGUUCAACUGAGCUAAGGGCCUGUAAACGCCGGGAGUAACUCUGACUCUCUUAAGGUAAAACAAAUUUGGAUUGCCUUAGUAAAAUCUGGCUAUUUGCUGGAAGGUCUGAGAAUGUCAGGCUAGGUUAUUCAAAGCUUAAAAUCUUUGAAUAAUCUGAUAAUGCCAUGACUGCAGAUAAUCAGCAGGAAAGACUAGAUGCGCGCUGGGUUAGUGGAUUCGUAGAUGGCGAAGGAUGCUUUCACGUUUCCAUAAAUAAAUCACCAGAGAUGUCUAUUGGUUGGCAAGUACUCCCCGAAUUUCGCGUUGUUCAACAUGAGCGUGACGAGUCUGUAUUAAAAGAAUUACAACAAUUCUUCCAAGCAGGAAAAGUCGUUACGAAUCAUGGUGCAAGAAAAGAACUACGAAUACGAAAACUAGAAGAUCUAAGAAAGAUAGUUUUGUUCUUCAAACAAUAUCAAUUGCAAACAAAGAAGAAAAAAGAUCUUGAAAUUUUCGGGGAAAUACUAGAACUGAUGGAAAACAAAAAACAUCUGACCAUUGAAGGCUUGACCGACAUUGCAAAUCUUUGUUGGUCAAUGAAUAGAAAGGUCAAACCGCGCUUUUUAGAAUCCUCAGAGACUACAUGCCAGAAAUCAUUGAAAAUGAUUAAGAUAUAGUCCGACCCCUGCAGCGAUGUAGGGAGGUUUGCAAAUGCAAACUCGCCUCGAUUUGUUUCCAAACAAUCAAGGUCACUAAGUAACAGAAGUGAGCCAAAUGCCUUGUCGGGUAAGUUCCGACGUGCAUGAAUGGAACAACGAGGGCCCCGCUGUCCCCGCCUACAACCCGGUGAAGCCACAUAAGCUGGACGAACAGUCCAGCAUCUUCCAUCGGGGAGAGAAGACCCCGUGGAGUUUUACUGCAGCUUGUGCUUGCGGUAUGGUGGAAAUUGCAUAGAGUAACUGGUAGCCAUGCUAAUGCCUUUUCGGGGGCAUUGGAAGCAAAAGUGUAACACCAGUCAUUUUCCUUCGUACUGCUUACCCCAUUAAUUUGGGGGACAGGUGCAGGUGGGCAGUUCGGCUGGGGCGGCACCCCUUUGAAAAGAUAUCAAAGGGGCCCAAAGUUCAGUUCAAACGGGUCAGAAAUCCGUUGAAGAGGGCAAGGCCACAAACUGGACUGACUGGAUCUCCAAACGCACGGGAUUCAGAGAAGAAAUUCGGGCCUAGCGAUCCAUGACGUCCCCACUAUUGGGGGCUCGUGGUGACAGAAAAAUUACCCCAGGGAUAACAGGCUCGUCGCGGGCGAGAGCUCCUAUCGACCCCGCGGUUUGGUACCUCGAUGUCGGCUUUUCCCAUCCUGGCCCUGCAGCAGGGGCCAAGGGUGAGGCUGCUCGCCUAUUAAAGGGGAACAUGAGCUGGGUUUAGACCGUCGUGAGACAGGUCGGACUCUGCCUGAUGGAAGCGUGGAUACUUGAGGGGAAGUUGCUCCGAGUACGAGAGGAACAGAGCAGCGUGGCCUCUGGUUUAACGGUUGUCUGAUAAGGCAGGCCGUGCAGCUAAGCCAUUUAGGCUAACUCCUGAAAGCAUCUAAGGAGGAAACCUAUCCUGAGAAAAGGUAUCCGGUCGUAAGACAAAGGGUGGCAGCAGAAGACUGCUUUGAUAGAACAGCAGUGUAUGCCCCAAGGUUCGCCGAGGGGCGAGCUGGCUGUUACUAACAACCCAAUACAUCAGUC